AAGUGCCCGGCCUCCGCCGACUGCCUCCCCACCCGUCCCGGCUCUCCACCGCCACCACGGAGAGGCGCGAUCGGGGACUCUGAGUCCCGGAGCAGGCUGGGGCCGAGCGGAGAGGCCGGGCUUUGGGGAGGAGGGGCCGCCGCCCAGGCCUGCGAUCAUGACCUCGGCCUCCCCGGGCCGGGCGGGGUCCCGGCGGGCAAGCCUAGUCAGCGCAGGCCGCGGAGCCCGGGCGCAGGGCCGUCAAGCUCCCCGGGAGUCCGGAGAACACACAGCGCGCUGGAGCGCAGAGGCCACACGCCCGGGGCCCGCCUGCGGCCGGACCGUGACCUUGGCCUCGCAAGCACCCCCGUAUUUUUUUUUUUUCCAUGUUUCCCCCUCCCCCCGCCCUGCCGUCUUCUAAAUUGCCUGCCUCGUCGUCGGUGAAGGAGUCGCUCGGGCUGGUGGCGACAGCUCCCCGCUACUCCGCUUGCGCACCUCGCCCUCUCCCGGGUCUCUGGGCCCCCGGUGGGCCCCCGCCUCCCCAGGACCCCAGCUUUGACGCCGCGAGGCCGCCGCAGCAGUGCAGGGUCCUGGCAAUCCGACCGGAGGAUCCACUCAGAAGACUAAAAUCGAGGAACCCCAGGAAAAAGAAUGGGGCCGGUAAAGGCUUUCCCCAAAUAUAUACCCUUCGAGAGUCGCCGGUUUAUUUAUACUAAAAAGUGCUGAACCCCUUCCUUCGUCGUGUUUAUUAUGAAGCAGGCAGUCCUGCAGAGGCAGGGAAGCGCUUUCUUUGAACAAAAACAAAAUGCGAAGACUCGACUCUGGAGCCUUCAACACUGGGAGCCAAACAGCGCCGUCCAAAUCAGAUCUUACUUAAAAAGAAAGGAAGGAAGGAAGGAAGAAAGAAAGGGAAGAGAAGAAAGAAAAGGAAAGAAAAGAGAAGGAAAGAGAAAAAAAAGGAGAAAAAAGAAAAGACAAAAGAAAAGGAAAAAGAAAAGGAAAGCAAAGAAAAGGGAAAAAAAUCUCCGCCUGGAGAGUCAGCAGAAAUACUGUUACCCUCCCCGUGAGCAACAAACCGUUUAUCAAAAACGCCUUCCCCAUCCCCCACCUGCUCUUUGCCAUUACUACAAACUCUUUGCUCCAUUAUCUUACACUUGAGCAGAAAAUCGUUAGAAAUAUUUGGAAACGAAAUAAUGUGUCACUAUCCUUCGAAAAAAGGCUAAAAAUAGCACCCAAGCUGACUUAA